UACGUAGGUGGCAAGCGUUAUCCGGAUUUAUUGGGCGUAAAGAGAACGCAGGCGGUCUUUUAAGUCUGAUGUGAAAGCCUUCGGCUUAACCGGAGUAGUGCAUUGGAAACUGGGAGACUUGAGUGCAGAAGAGGAGAGUGGAACCCCAUGUGUAGCGGUGAAAUGCGUAGAUAUAUGGAAGAACACCAGUGGCGAAAGCGGCUCUCUGGUCUGUAACUGACGCUGAGGUUCGAAAGCGUGGGUAGCAAACAGG
rnacentral:rRNA from 1 species